rnacentral:rRNA from 1 species
UACGAAGGGGGCAAACGUUGCUCGGAAUUAUUGGGCGUAAAGCGCACGUAGGCGGCUUAGCAAGGCGGAUGUGAAAUCCCUCGGCUCAACCAAGGAAGUGCAUCCGAAACUGCUGAGCUUGAGUACUUAAGAGGAUCGCGGAAUUCCCGGUGUAGAGGUGAAAUUCGUAGAUAUCGGGAGGAACACCAGUGGCGAAGGCGGCGACCUGGGUCGAUACUGACGCUGAGGUGCGAAAGCGUGGGGAGCAAACAGG